UCAGUGUCCCUAUUCUGUAAUC
rnacentral:piRNA from 1 species